rnacentral:rRNA from 1 species
AUAGAUUAAGUUAUUAAGGGCGCACGGUGGAUGCCUUGGCACUAGAAGCCGAAGAAGGACGUUACUAACGACGAUAUGCUUUGGGUAGCUGUAAGUAAGCGUUGAUCCAGAGAUUUCCGAAUGGGGGAACCCAACAUGAGUUAUGUCAUGUUAUCGACAUGUGAAUUCAUAGCAUGUCAGAAGGCAGACCCGGAGAACUGAAACAUCUUAGUACCCGGAGGAAGAGAAAGAA